AUUGAACGCUGGCGGUAGGCUUAACACAUGCAAGUCGAGCGAGAAAGGCCUUCGGGCUGAGUAAAGCGGCGGACGGGUGAGUAACGCGUAGGAAUCUGCCUGGUAUGGGGGACAACAUGUGGAAACGCAUGCUAAUACCGCAUACGCCCUACGGGGGAAAGCGGGGGACCUUCGGGCCUCGCGCUACCAGAUGAGCCUGCGUUAGAUUAGCUUGUUGGUGAGGUAAAAGCUCACCAAGGCGACGAUCUAUAGCUGGUCUGAGAGGAUGAUCAGCCACACUGGGACUGAGACACGGCCCAG
rnacentral:rRNA from 1 species